rnacentral:tRNA from 1 species
UCUAACAUGGCAGAUUAGUGCAAUGGAUUUAAGCUCCGUUCAUAAAGUUAUACUUUUAUUAGA